CCCGCUGACGAGCGGCGGACGGGUGAGUAAUGCAUAGGAAUUUACCCGAUAGUGGGGGAUAACCUGGGGAAACCCAGGCUAAUACCGCAUACGUCCUACGGGAGAAAGGGGGCUUCGGCUCCCGCUAUCGGAUGAGCCUAUGCCGGAUUAGCUGGUUGGUGAGGUAAUGGCUCACCAAGGCGACGAUCCGUAGCUGGUCUGAGAGGAUGAUCAGCCACAUCGGGACUGAGACACGGCCCGAACUCCUACGGGAGGCAGCAGUGGGGAAUAUUGGACAAUGGGCGCAAGCCUGAUCCAGCCAUGCCGCGUGUGUGAAGAAGGCCCUCGGGUUGUAAAGCACUUUCAGCGAGGAAGAACGCCUGGCGGUUAAUACCCGCCAGGAAAGACAUCACUCGCAGAAGAAGCACCGG
rnacentral:rRNA from 1 species